CCGUCCCCGGAUGCGUCCGGGGGCGGUGUCGCCGGCCACACGCCCAUUCUUGUCUAUUUACCCAGUUGCCUCGGCGGGCCGCGCACUCGUGCCGCGCCUCGAGGAGCCGUCCGGGGACAAUCAACUCCCUGGAUCGCGCCCGCCGGAGGAGUGAUUAAAAUCCAUGAAUACUGUUCCGUCUGAGCGUUAGCAAGUAAAAUCAGUUAAAACUUUCAACAACGGAUCUCUUGGUUCCGGCAUCGAUGAAGAACGCAGCGAAAUGCGAUAAGUAAUGUGAAUUGCAGAAUUCCGUGAAUCAUCGAAUCUUUGAACGCACAUUGCGCCCUCUGGUAUUCCGGGGGGCAUGCCUGUUCGAGCGUCAUUUCAACCCCUCAAGCCCGGCUUGUGUGAUGGACGACCGUCCCGCCCUCCCUACUCCAGGGGAGGGGGACGCGCCCGAAAAGCAGUGGCCAGGCCGCGAUUCCGGCUCCUGGGCGAAUGGGCAACAAACCAACGCCUCUAGGACCGGCCGGUUUUCUGGCCUAGUU
rnacentral:sRNA from 1 species